rnacentral:rRNA from 1 species
GCUGGGUGGAUCAGUGGCGAACGGGUGAGUAACACGUGAGCAACCUGCCCUCCACUUCGGGAUAAGCCUUGGAAACGGGGUCUAAUACCGGAUAUGAGCACCUUCCGCAUGGUGGGUGUUGGAAAGUUUUUCGGUGGGGGAUGGGCUCGCGGCCUAUCAGCUUGUUGGUGGGGUAAUGGCCUACCAAGGCGUCGACGGGUAGCCGGCCUGAGAGGGCGACCGGCCACACUGGGACUGAGACACGGCCCAGACUCCUACGGGAGGCAGCAGUGGGGAAUAUUGCACAAUGGGCGAAAGCCUGAUGCAGCGACGCCGCGUGAGGGAUGACGGCCUUCGGGUUGUAAACCUCUUUCAGCAGGGAAGAAGGCCUUCGGGUGGACGGUACCUGCAGAAGAAGCGCCGGCUAACUACGUGCCAGCAGCCGCGGUAAUACGUAGGGCGCAAGCGUUGUCCGGAAUUAUUGGGCGUAAAGAGCUCGUAGGCGGUCUGUCGCGUCUGGUGUGAAAACCCGAGGCUCAACCUCGGGCUUGCAUCGGGUACGGGCAGACUAGAGUGCGGUAGGGGAGACUGGAAUUCCUGGUGUAGCGGUGGAAUGCGCAGAUAUCAGGAGGAACACCGAUGGCGAAGGCAGGUCUCUGGGCCGCAACUGACGCUGAGGAGCGAAAGCAUGGGGAGCGAACAGGAUUAGAUACCCUGGUAGUCCAUGCCGUAAACGUUGGGCACUAGGUGUGGGGCUCAUUCCACGAGUUC